AUUGAACGCUGGCGGCAGGCUUAACACAUGCAAGUCGAACGAGUGGCGGACGGGUGAGUAAUGCUUGGGAAUCUAGCUUAUGGAGGGGGAUAACUACGGGAAACGGUAGCUAAUACCGCGUACCAUCGGAUGUACCCAUAUGGGAUUAGCUAGUUGGUGAGGUAAUGGCUCACCAAGGCGACGAUCCCUAGCUGGUCUGAGAGGAUGAUCAGCCACACUGGGACGGAGACACGGCCCAGACUCCUACGGGAGGCAGCAGGGGGGAAUAUUGCACAAUGGGCGCAAGCCGGAUACAGCCAUGCCGCGUGUAUGAAGAAGGCCCUAGGGUUGUAAAGUACUUUCAGUCGGGAGGCGUUACGGGCAGAAGAAGCACCGGAUAACUCCGUGCCAGCAGCCGCGGUAAUAC
rnacentral:rRNA from 1 species